rnacentral:rRNA from 1 species
CCCUUAGAUGUUCUGGGCCGCACGCGUGCUACACUGACCGGCGCAACAAGUUUCUUUCCUUGGCUCGAUAGGCCUGGGUAAUCUUUGAACGCCGGUCGUGAUGGGGAUAGAUCCUUGCAAUUUUUGAUCUUCAACGAGGAAUUCCUAGUAAAUGCGAGUCAUCAUCUCGCGUUGAUUACGUCCCUGCCCUUUGUACACACCGCCCGUCGCACCUACCGAUUGAAUGGUCCGGUGAAGUCUCGGGAUUGCGAAUGCUUCGUGCGGACGCGAGAACUUGGCUAAACCUUACCAUUUAGAGGAAGGUGAAGUCGUAACA